rnacentral:rRNA from 1 species
UCCUACGGGAGGCAGCAGUAGGGAAUCUUGCGCAAUGGGCGAAAGCCUGACGCAGCCAUGCCGCGUGAAUGAUGAAGGUCUUAGGAUUGUAAAAUUCUUUCACCGGGGAAGAUAAUGACGGUACCCGGAGAAGAAGCCCCGGCUAACUUCGUGCCAGCAGCCGCGGUAAUACGAAGGGGGCUAGCGUUGCUCGGAAUUACUGGGCGUAAAGGGCGCGUAGGCGGAUAGUUUAGUCAGAGGUAAAAGCCCAGGGCUCAACCCUGGAACAGCCUUCGAUACUGGGUAUCUUGAGUACGGGAGAGGUGUGUGGAACUCCGAGUGUAGAGGUGAAAUUCGUAGAUAUUCGGAAGAACACCAGUGGCGAAGGCGACACACUGGCCCGUUACUGACGCUGAGGCGCGAAAGCGUGGGGAGCAAACAGGAUUAGAUACCCUGGUAGUCCACGCUGUAAACGAUGAGUGCUAGUUGUCGGCAUGCAUGCAUGUCGGUGACGCAGCUAACGCAUUAAGCACUCCGCCUGGGGAGUACGGCCGCAAGGUUAAAACUCAAAUGAAUUGACGGGG